rnacentral:rRNA from 1 species
AAACCCUGAUGCAGCCAUGCCGCGUGUGUGAAGAAGGCCUUCGGGUUGUAAAGCACUUUCAGUAGGGAGGAAGGUAGUGUAGUUAAUACCUGCAUUAUUUGACGUUACCUACAGAAGAAGCACCGGCUAACUCCGUGCCAGCAGCCGCGGUAAUACGGAGGGUGCGAGCGUUAAUCGGAAUUACUGGGCGUAAAGCGCAUGCAGGCGGCCUGUUAAGUCAGAUGUGAAAGCCCGGGGCUUAACCUCGGAAUUGCAUUUGAAACUGGCAGGCUAGAGUCUUGUAGAGGGGGGUAGGAAUUUCAGGUGUAGCGGUGAAAUGCGUAGAGAUCUGAAGGAAUACCAGUGGCGAAGGCGGCCCCCUGGACAAAGACUGACGCUCAGAUGCGAAAGCGUGGGGAGCAAACAGGAUUAGAUACCCUGGUAG